UCGAUCAUGUAUCAAAAGGGAGUUCAUUAAAACCCGUUGAGAGCCCGUAGUUUCGCAUUCAAUGUAUCUCGUUGGACGAGAGCAUUUGGCCAUAAGCCUCAACCUGAUCCUGAGCCUGAGCCUCCCACCAGUCUCACAAUGGAGUUGACAUUCAGUCAGUUGACCCAUUAGUUGGCAGAGUGGCCGAGAGGGAGAGAGAGAGAGUGGGAGAGAGAUUUAUCCUCGACGCAAGAAAAACAAGAUGAGAAAACACUGACGCCCCCAGCCCCCCAACACCAGCCAGCCGCGCCGCGCUACGCCACGCCACGCCACGCCACACUGUCACUUUAAUGGGGAUAUAUGCACAGACGAGCACAAACGAUAUACUUAAUGCUCGCAGCUGGCGCUGGUGCUGGUGCUGGCCUGAUUGUAUAAUUGCUCCACCGAUUCCCAGUAAUGAUGACAUCACAAGAGCAGCGAGCGGCACACAGCGGUAGGCGAAUGAAACAGGCUCGAAAAGGAAGCCAAACGAAACAACAACCAGACCCAAAAGCCAACAACAGCAACAGCAACACAUUACAACAAUGACAAACACUUCAUCACACCUCACACCUCGCUCAUUCACCCCUCUCGCUGGCUCGGCGAACGAGACAACGGGCCGCAUACGAAUAUAAUCCAGCAAGAAAUAAACAUUUUGUCAAUUGCAAAAAAACAAAAACAAAAACCAACAAAAAAUAAACUGCGGCUUAGCGAGGUUCGAUUGGAGACUGGAGCUGAUCGAUUGAUGCAUGUGAAAUCGUA